rnacentral:misc_RNA from 1 species
UUCAUGGUUUUUAUGUGGAGUGGAAUGGAAUGGUUUUUAUUCUUGUAAGGACAAGAAAAAUAUAUAUUUAUGGAGAAGGUGUAUCAAUGCCUAGAGCAUAAGCUUCAUUUUGAAGCCAUACUUUUUGGUUGAAGAUGGCCUCAAAAGGCUACGAGUUUCUCAAAGUUCUUUAAGACAAUAUUUGAAGAAUUUUAGAAGAACACAAAUCAAUUUUAUAACCUUCAGUCUUGCUGGCAGG